AUUGAACGCUGGCGGCAUGCCUUACACAUGCAAGUCGAACGGCAGCACGGGUGCUUGCACCUGGUGGCGAGUGGCGAACGGGUGAGUAAUACAUCGGAACGUACCUUAUCGUGGGGGAUAACGCAGCGAAAGCUGUGCUAAUACCGCAUACGCCCUGAGGGGGAAAGCGGGGGAUCGCAAGACCUCGCGCGAUUAGAGCGGCCGAUGCCUGAUUAGCUUGUUGGUGGGGUAAAAGCCCACCAAGGCGACGAUCAGUAGCUGGUCUGAGAGGACGAUCAGCCACACUGGGACUGAGACACGGACCAGCCUCCUACGGGAAGCAGCAGUGGGGAAUUUUGGACAAUGGGGGCAACCCUGAUCCAGCAAUGCCGCGUGAGUGAAGAAGGCCUUCGGGUUGUAAAGCUCUUUUGUCAGGGAAGAAACACCGGCUCUAACACAGUCCGGGAAUGACGGUACCUGAAGAAUAAGCACCGGCUAACUACGUGCCAGCAGCCGCGGUAA
rnacentral:rRNA from 1 species